AGGUUAAGAUGCCACUUCCUGAUAUGAUGGCUGCUGUGCUGGCUAUGGAUGAAUCAGUAUUAGAUGUAGAUCAGGUGAAAAAUCUCAUUAAGUUUUGUCCUACUAAAGAAGAGAUGGAACUUUUGAAGGGAUACACUGGUGACAAAGAGAAUUUGGAAAAAUGCGAACAGUAUUUUUUAUAGCUGAUGAAGGUGCCACGAGUAGAGUCAAAGUUAAGAGUAUUCUCUUUCAAGAUUCAAUUUCUGUCUCAGGUUACAGAAUUUAAGAAGAGUUUAAAAACUGUGAACUCUGCUUGUGAAGAGGUACAUUGUGCAUGAAACUAACAAACUGUGUUAUUGGUAUUUCUUUGACCUCAUGCAUUUUCUCUUGGGAAUAGGUCCGAAAGUCUGUCAAGCUGAAGAUCAUGAAGAAAAUUCUUUUUUUUGGGUAAUACAUUAAAUCAAGGAACAGCUAGGGGUAUGUACUUUUUUCCUUUAAAUGUUAAUGUCCUUAUCAUUCUCUAGGACAUCGUUCUAGCUCUCUCAAUUUUCUAUGUUUGGAUAAUCACAGGCCCUUCUUAAUUUUUCAGCAGUUAAAAUUUAAUUUGAUUCUGUUAGAUCUUGUCUAA